rnacentral:hammerhead_ribozyme from 1 species
AUUCAGCUGAUGAGUUCCAACUAAAACGAAACGCGCCUCUUGAAU